GCCCCCUCUGCUCAGGUGAUGGACUUCCUGUUUGAGAAGUGGAAGCUCUACGGCGACCAGUGUCACCACAACCUGAGCCUGCUGCCCCCUCCCACGGGUGAGCCCCCACCCAGAGCCUUUCAGCCUGUGCCUGGCCUCAGCACUUCCUGAGUUCUCCUCAUGGGAAGGUUCCUGGGUACUUAUGCAGCCCUUGAGGACCUCGCCAAGGGGCCCUGUCACUCCUCAGGCCCCCACCCCCAUGGGCAGAGCUGGUGUGCAACAGAACCUUCGACAAGUAUUCCUGCUGGCCAGACACCCCCGCCAAUACCACGGCCAACAUCUCCUGCCCCUGGUACCUGCCUUGGCACCACAAAGGUACCCAUAAAGGGCAGGAACUGUGGGAGGGGCGGGCCCGGGGUGGGGCUGACCUCAGCCUCCCCCCACACCCCCAGUGCAACACCGCUUCGUGUUCAAGAGAUGCGGGCCCGACGGUCAGUGGGUGCGCGGACCCCGGGGGCAGCCUUGGCGUGACGCCUCCCAGUGCCAGAUGGAUGGCGAGGAGAUUGAGGUCCAGGUCAGCGGGCGGCAGGCGGGCGCGGUGGGCUGGAUGGGAACGGGCAUGGGGGCCCCCGCCUGGCCCUCACAGGCCACUUUAACUCACAGAAGGAGGUGGCCAAGAUGUACAGCAGCUUCCAGGUGAUGUACACGGUGGGCUACAGCCUGUCCCUGGGGGCUCUGCUCCUCGCCUUGGCCAUCCUGGGGGGCCUCAGGUAGGAUUCCGCC
rnacentral:sRNA from 1 species